UACAGAGGUCCCAAGCGUUGUUCGGAUUCACUGGGCGUAAAGGGUGCGUAGGUGGUGAGGUAAGUCGGAUGUGAAAUCUCCGGGCUCAACCCGGAAAUGGCAUUGGAAACUACCUUGCUUGAGGAUUUGAGGGGGGGAUUGGAAUACUUGGUGUAGCAGUGAAAUGCGUAGAUAUCAAGUGGAACACCAGUGGCGAAGGCGAAUCCCUGGAAAAUACCUGACACUGAGGCACGAAAGCUAGGGGAGCAAACAGG
rnacentral:rRNA from 1 species